CAUUAUUAGGCACUUGAUAUUCAGAUGAUAUUUUCCAAGCACAUAUAUAUAUAUGCCCUUUUGGAAAAAUGGCUCUUAACCAAAAAUAAAAAUUUUGCUUUUUGGUCAAAAAAGGUUCCUGACCCCUGUUCCAGAAUCUGGCAGUAAGUUUGGGGAGCACAUUUUUAUUCCAUCUUCUAUUCUGAAAAGUCUUAAUUCUUAAUUCUUUUGCAGUAAACUUGUGUCUUUUCUCCACCUUUUUUUUUUUUUUUUCAAACUCCACUGUCCCAGUCAGCAUUUUUUUGUCCAAUGGUCAUGUCGAAAUUUUGCAAUUUCUAUAUUGCAAUAGUUUUGAAUAAUUCUCAUGGGGAUUUAAUAAUUUUUGACUUUUCAGUCCGAGUUAAAACUCUUUUUUUGGCUCAUUUCAUCUGUAAAAAAAGCCUAAUAAUUCUGCACACCUGAAUAUAAGGAGUUUUUCUCUUCCAGCCUUCAUGGACAAUAUAUCACUCAUAAAUGAUUAAAUACAAAAUUAAUGGUAGUUAUUAAGAUUGAUGUCAUUGGGAAUUGGUAAAAUGUGCUUGGAAAAAAAAAAAUCAGAAUAUCAACAUGCCUAAUAAUUGUGCACACAGUGUAAAUCAAUAAAGGUUUUAGUAACACUUUAUAAUAAGGUCUAAUUUGUAAACAUUAGUAAAUGAACAUGAAAAAUAUAUUUUCACAGAAUUUAUUAAUGUUUGUUGAUUUUAGUUCACAGUGCAUUAACUAAUGUUAACAGAUAUUUUUUUUUUUAAGUUUUGACUAUUAACUGACAUUGACAUGCAAUAUAAUUAUUGUUCAUGUUAGUUAAUCUUAAUAACUGAAACCUUAUAAAAAAGUGUUACUAAAGUAUUGUGUAUUGUUCUCUGUGUGUGUCUUUCAUAGUCUUGAUGGUUUGGAUUAACCCUUUAAUUGCCGAAUCCUUAAAACCAGACUGCCAUAGAGUUACUGUAAAUGCAUGUGCCCGCUGGGCACAGUUUUCCUGAUGCCACCGGGGCGGCGUUUGCACUGAUGGCUUGAGCCCGCCAUCGCUGCUUGCAGCUAUAUUUAGGGCUCAAGCCUGGAGGGCGAGAGCCCUAUUGUUUUCCUUAGGAUUAUUUUUUAUUAUUAUUAGGGCUCAAGCCUGGAGGGCGA
ensembl:lncRNA